CGAUGGCAGAUGAUCGCUCUGGAGCAAUCUGGAGAGGAAAGUCCGAACACCAUACGGCAACAUGCCGCGCAGAAGGCGCGGGCACCCGGCGCGUAAGUGACGGGCGACGGAGAGUGUCACAGAAAAUAUACCGCCUAACGAGUGAAGCAGUUCAUGAGUGAGGUAAGGUUGAAAAGGCGAGGUAAGAGCUCACCGCUCGACGCGCAAGCGGCGAGGCAGGAAAAACCCCAUGCGGUGCAAGACAAAACAGAGGAAGGGCAGCCGGUCCGCUAAUCCCUCGGGUAUCGUCGCAUCACGCGGCGCGCGAGCGCCGCGGGCGUUCGCCUCGGCGAAUGAGAUAAAUGAUCAUCGCGGUUGAGUAAUCAACCGCACAGAAUUCGGCUUAUCGCUAUCAAAAU
rnacentral:RNase_P_RNA from 1 species